AUGUUCAGCAGUCAUUCCAUGUUCGACCAGUAGAGAGCAUUUUAGGCUUUUUCAGGUGGCCCCUACUGGCAGCAACAAGCAUAUGGGGGUGCAGUGAUGCUGUUGAGGCAACUCAAAGGCCGAGUCCAUGGACACUGUGUUCUGUCUUGUAAAGCAUUCAAUACGUGGGUCCCUGUGUGUGCAUUUCAUGGACGGAAGUGAUCUAUAAGAGGUGUGAUGACUGCUGUUACAUACGUCUGCAGAGCGUGGGUCUAGCACCUAGCAUUUCCUCCUUAGCAAAAAAAUGAGGAAGCUAAGACACAGAGAAGGCAUUUGCUCAAUGCCACAGAACCCAGAUUCCAACUCAGGCCAAAGGACUCCAGAGCUGUGCUCUCCACUCCAGCCAUACUGCCUCCGAAGAGAGCUUAAGCAGGGAAACCCAAAGACCAAAGAAUGUCCCCCAACUCUCACCUCAUGUAUGGAAGAGGUUCCGGCUCUGCUACUC